UGCUUCGGCCGGGAAUCGAACCCGGUCCGCCCGCGUAGCAGGCCAGCAUUCUACCACUGAACCACCGAUGGU
rnacentral:tRNA from 1 species